rnacentral:rRNA from 1 species
CAAUGGCGCAUACAAAGAGAAGCGACCUCGCGAGAGCAAGCGGACCUCAUAAAGUGCGUCGUAGUCCGGAUUGGAGUCUGCAACUCGACUCCAUGAAGUCGGAAUCGCUAGUAAUCGUGGAUCAGAAUGCCACGGUGAAUACGUUCCCGGGCCUUGUACACACCGCCCGUCACACCAUGGGAGUGGGUUGCAAAAGAAGUAGGUAGCUUAACCUUCGGGAGGGCGCUUACCACUUUGUGAUUCAUGACUGGGGUGAAGUCGUAACAAGGUAACCGUAGGGGAACCUGCGGUUGGAUCAC